GUUAACCUUGGCUUCAUAGCAGUUUCAAGGCUAGCCUGAGCUGCGUAAGAUCGUGCCUGAACACAGCAGAAGAAAGAAAGAAAGAAAGAAAGAAAGAAAGAAAGAAAGAAAGAAAGAAAGAAAGAAAGAAAGAAGAAACAGGCCUCCCUGCUGGGGGACAAGGGUGGGUGCCGCCUCAGUGGGAGGAAAGGCAGAGCGGAUGGGCACAGAUGCCGGUGGGUGGGGAGCCGCAGAGCCAGCACAACGUCUGUGCCAAGGGCUUCUAUUUUCUUAGCAAAAUCGGAAGAGGUUGUCAGCUGAGAGUGAGGUGGAGGAGGAGGUGUGAAGCAGUCGUCUAGGAGAGCGGGUGUGAAUAGACUUGAGGGAUGGAGCACAGCGGCCGGGCAGUCGUGGUCCUUGGAGUGGGACUGGGGGCUGAGCCUGCAGCUCAAGGGCAUGGAGGAGCGAGCAUGCCGAGGUUUGGAGUCCUCUAGCUCCACAAAAUAGAAAUCAGCAGUUCAGCUCGCAGGUCAGCAACAGCAGCCCGAUCCAGUCACCAACACUUCACGGAUACACCAGCAGUUCACCAACACUUCAUGGAUACCCGAGCAGGUCAGUUCAAUAGUGCCUGGAUAGGGGCAGCAGUGGCACGACCUAGCAGGAACAGUCAAUCAGGCCUUGGCCCAAACAGCACGAGUCAACAGGGAGGAUUUGGAUCACCAGGAACUCCAGGAAAAGUUCUCAGCUGUGCCUCUCUCAGCGAAGAUGCAAGACCAACAAGCAUUGCACAGCUUGCUCUAUAAGCAAGCCUAGCCUGAUCUCUGUCACCAUCCGUGGAGUCCUUUUUACACUCCCUCCAAACAUAAAGUGUCCUCCUCGGGUCUUGCCUCAGCAUGUGAGUCUGUCUUGGCUGACAUCCCUCUGCCAAUCGGCCCAAAUCUGCAGAAGCAGCAAGAAGCCACAGCACACCACCAGAAGUGUUUUGGUGCGUUUCUCCCUAUGGAGUCCUGACAAAUGCAGCUCAACUACGCAGUGGCCUUGUGCUCCUCCCUGAAGUUUCUGAACCUUGGAUGGUGGCGUUUGAUACCCAUGACCCAGUGCAGCCGAGCUCUCCAUGUUACUUAUUCUUUAACCAUUUUUGAGCCUUUGCAUUAACCCAGUGCUGGACCCUGCAUGCUACAAUGCUGAGCGGCUGGCAAGCUGUGCUCACCGGUGCAAUCAUGGUGUGAUGGUUUUGGAGAGCCGUGAGAAGCUGACUUCUGGCACAUGUGGCUGCUGCAUGUGUCAGGGCACAGCAGCUGAGAUUACCUGACCAAGAUCAAGCCAGUCCCAGUCCCAGGGUGGGGGAGCAGAAGAGAGGCCCCAUCUGUACUGGAAGAACUAUCCACAGUUGAUGGCUGCCAAAGAAGGAAGAGUUCCCCUCCAGUGGGGACAUAGUUGAGAGUAGCCUGUGUGUGAUGCCUCCGUGGAUGGCCAUAUACCCAUGUAUAUAUAGGCAGCACUAACUGGAUUCAUCAGGUUAAUAAUAGCAAUAAAAGGGAAAGGACACGGAGUUGGGAAGGAGAUGAGUGGGAGCUAGAAGAGGUAGUGGUGGAUGGAUACAACCAGUACCCACUAUACUGUGUGACUGUAUGAUGCUUUUAAAGAACAGGAAAUACUUAGCUGGGUAAGGUGGUACACACUUUUCUUUGAUCCCAGCAUUCAGGAGUCAGAGGCAAGAGUAUCUCUGUGAGUCCAGGCCAGAGAAGGCUACAUAGUGGGACUCUGUUUAAAAAAUAAUUUAAGAGGGCUGCAGAGAUAGCUCAGAUGUUGUGAGCACUUGCUGUUCUGGCAGAGGACCUGAGUUUGGGUCCCAGCAUCCAUGUUUGUGCCUCUUACAGUGCAUCCAGCUCCAGGGGAUGCUGUACCCUCCGGGCCUCUGUGGGUGCCUGCAUACACAUGUGCACACACACACAUAUACAUAAGUAAAGUAUAUAAAUUUACAAACAGGAUUUAAUGUUGAGAUCACAGUGCUUUCUAAGUCGAUUCAUGGGUUCAUUGCAAUCGUAUCAAGUUUCAACGUCUCAUGCUUUUUAUUUCAAAACUGACUCAAAGCUCCAGCAACCAGGCCCAUGCAGUCCUGGGCACAAGGCUUAGACACAAAGAUCAAUGAAAUAAGAGGCUCCAGAAAGGAUCCCCAGUCAGCUUCUUGCAAUGUUGGAUCAGAGUUCUCUAGAGAAACAGAACUGAUAGUCUAAGUCAAAGGCAUGGUCAGGUGUCGCUUCAACCCUUCCCUGGGGGAGCAGAGACCAAGGUGCACCCCUCCUCCUCAGGUCCCAAUGAGAGGGGGGCACAUAGGUUCAUAUGUUUGAAUACUUGAUCCUCAUUUGCAGAACUGUUUGGGGAAGGUUAGGAGGUGUGGCCUUGUUAGAGGAGGUGUGUCACAGGGUGGGGUAAGGGUACUUUGAGAUUUCAAAAGUCUAUUAUAACUAUUCCCAGUUAUCUGGCCCCUGCCUUUCUCUCUAUCUGCAACUUUUGGAUUGGAUGUGAGCUCCAAGCUACGGCUCCAGCAGGGUGCCUGCCCUCCUGUGGUCACGAUCCUCCCCCAACCCCCAUGAUGGUCACAGACUUACCCACCCUCUGAGACUCUAUGUCCCCAAUAAACUCUUCUAAAAGUUGA